AGACUCCCUUUGCCUACCUCUUCCUCUCUGACCCCAUCCUCGCUUUGAUGCCCGGGACCUGCUACCCAGGUACGUGGGUCUUCUCUGCCGGAUGUGGACAUCUUGGCCUCUCGCCUUGGUGCCUACUCUUGGGAAGCGGGUCCAGACAUCUCUCCUGCAGGAAGAGAGGAAGGGUUAAUUACAGGCGUUGGGGAUAAUUAAAGCCUUUGACCAAGAGGAUGGGAGGAGAGCCUUGGUCCUCUGAGAGCCUGUGAGUGUGCAAGUGCCUGUGAGAAUAAGUGCAUGUGUAUGAGGGUGUGAGAUUUUGUUGAAUGUGCAUUCGUGUGUAUAGACAUGAGAGUGUUGAUGUAUGUAUGACUGUGUGUGAGUGUGUGUAUGGACAUAAGUGUUGUAUGUGACUGGGCAGGGUGGCUCAGGCCUGUAAUUCCAGCACUUUGGGAGGCCGAGGCAGGCAGAUCAUUUGAGGUCAGGAGCUCCAGACAUGCCUGGCCAACAUGGUGAAACCCCGUCUCUACUAAAAAUACAAAAAAAUUAGCUGGGCGUGGUGCCACUCACCUGUAAUCCCAUCUACUAAGGAGGCUAAGGCAGGAGAAUCACUUGAACCCCAGAGGCAGAGAUUGCAGUGAGCCGAGAUUGCGCCACUCACUGCACUCCAGCCUGGGCCAGCAAGACUCUGUCUCAAAAAAAAAAAGAAAAAAGUGUUGGUAUAUGUGUGUAUAAGUGUGUGUGCAUGGGCAUGAGAGGAUUUGGGUAUGAGUGUGUGUCUGUGUGUGUUUUUGUGGAUUGUGUGGAUGUGUCUAGAUGUGUGUAUGAGUGUGCAUGUGGGUGUGAGAGAUUUGUGUAUGAGUGCAUGUGAGUGUGGAUUUGUGUAUGCAUGUAUUUGUGAGUGUGCCAUACUUCACAGUAGAUGUGGAGUCAGCCCAUGAGUUUCUGAACAAGUUAUUUCACUUUUCUGAGCCUCAGUUUGCUCCUGGAAAGAUGUAAAGCCUAUUUAGGAGAGUUACUGUAAAGAUCAAAUAAAGUCAUGCAUGUAAACCACAGGGGCCAGGACUACAGAAAGCACGCAUGAAAUCUCAGCUGUUACUGGGUUACAUGCGGUUCAGCAACAGGAAGCCACAUCCGUGGAGAGCAGGGCAUGUGUUGUGCCCAGGGCUCUGUGGACAGGCACAUGGGGUGUGUGGAUGAGUGUGAGCAUGUGUGUAGUACGUGGUUUGGAUAAGUGUUUUGCAUGUUGUAUUGGAGCCUCUGGGCUAGGGACACUGGCGUGUGUAAGACUCCAUGUGAGUUGUGUGGAAGCCACUGCUUGUACAUGUGUGUUACAUGCCACUUGCAGGCUCCAUCUGUCAGAUGUGUCACUAGAGGACACACUGCAGGAGGACAGGGAUGUUUGUAGAAAACAGACAGUGCCUGGGCCAGGCGCGGUGGCUCACGCCUGUAAUCCCAGCACUUUGGGAGGCCGAGGCAGAUAGAUCACUUGAGGUCAGGAGUUUGAGACCAAGCUUGUCAUCAUGGUGAAACCCCGUCUCUACUAAAAAUACAAAAAUUAGCCGGGCGUGGUGGCGCAUGCCCGUAAUCCCAGCUGCUCGAGUUGGAGGCAGGAAAGUCGCUUGAACCCAGGAGGUGGAGGUUGCAGUGAGCCGAGACCGCGGCACUGCACUCCAGCCUGGGUGACAGAGCGAGAGCCAAAAACAAAAAAAGAAAACAGACAGUGCCUGAUACAUACUAGAUAUUCAGCAAGCCUCCGCUGAAUGAAUGAACUAAUGAGUGAAUGACAGUGUUGCGAGUUCUGUGUUGCGUGAAAGUCUCUGUGUGUAGUGUUGGUUGGUCCUUCUGGUGGCAAGUGUGGGUUUCCAUGUGUGGCCUCAAAAGGUUGAAUCCAAGCACACACACGGCAGGGGUGCAGGCAGGCCCUGAUGGCUGUGGGGCGUGUGCCCAGCAGUAUGUGCACAAGUUGGGGGCUGAGAGCAUAGGGCAGGGUGUUGCUCAUCUGCAGCAUGUGACGUGAACAGAGGCCUAUGGAAAGGAGUGGUAUGUCAGGUGGUGGCAAGAGGGUGUUCCACCUGGCUUUUCCCUGGCUUUUAGUCACCCAUUUAAUGACACACCCUUCCCUCUUUUCCUGUCCGACUCAGAGUCUUUCCCGCUCUAGGUGACUGGGUGCUAAGGAGGAAAGUUCUUCAGUGAGUCUUAUAAAGCGGCACCAAAACGCGGUAUUUAUAGUGACAUAAUCAGCCCUAAUGGAGAUGGAAUUACCCCAUAAAGGCCCCAAGGAGCCCUCAGGGCCUCAGCGCCACUGCAGCAGACAAGGCUCCUGUACAGGCAGGUGGAGCCCGAGUGAGUGUGUGUUUGUGUGUGACUGCCUCUCCUGCCAAUCCCUGCCUCCGGCCCACCAGCCUGCUUAGGGGCCCACCUUUGCUAGGACUUAGCUGGGGCUGGGUACUGGGGGCAAGGAGAUGACAAAGGUGAAUGCUGAAGCCAUGGCCUCACUUACCCCACCUUUGAUCUGUGCCUGCCUUUGGCCAAGAGCAUCAGAAAAAAAAUAAUGCGGCCUGGGCAAUACAGUGAGACCCCAUCUCUACAAAAGAAAAAAGAAAAAAAAUUAGCUGGGCAUGGUGGUGAGCACCCGUGGCCUCAGCUACUCGGGCGGCUGAGGAAGGAGGAUUGCUUGAGCCUAGGAGGUCAAGGCUGCAAUGAGCCGUGAUUGCACCACUGCACUCCAGCCUAGGCAACCAAGUGAGACCCUGUUUCAAAACAAAAUUUUUUUAAAAAAAGAAAAGCAAAGAAAAAAACUGUAGCCAAUACUUAUGAAGCACUACUAUGUGCCGGGCCCAGUUCUAGGCACUUAUCUGUACUGAUCCACUUAGUUCUCAUGACACCUUCAGGGAGGUGGCCACUGCUCCUGCCCACAUUUUGCAGAAGAGCAAAUUUGGAAGUAAAAUUUGGAGCUGGCAUUCUGGCCCAGACAGGCUAGAUCCAGCGCGCACUCUCAUGGGUACCUGCCUCAACCAUUGCCUCUGAAUUCCACUGAACCUGGAGAGCAGUGCCCCGUCCUGGAAUGUGCCAACUCUCCGCAGCUGGGAUCUUUAAGGUCAGUCUAAUUACUACCUCUUGGGUGAAACCCCCAGGGAUCAGGCCCCCCCUAGAGCCCCAGGGGCCUCCAUGCUACAUGCCUACCAGCACCCUGCUCUCAACCAACUGAACUCUUUUUUGUUUUUCAAAGCCUCUGAACUAUCUUCUCAACUAGACUGUAAAUCCCUCAGAGGCAGGGUAUGAAUCCAGCAACAGGUAGAACAGUUCCCCACACAUUCUGCUCAAUAGAUGCUAAUUUUUUUUUUUUUUUUUUUUUUGAGACAGAGUCUUGCUCUGUCCCCCAGGCUGGAGUGCAGUGGCGCAAUCUCAGCUCACUGCAACCUCCACCUCCCGGGUUCAAGUGAUUCUCCUGCCUCAGCCUCCUGAGUAUCUGGGAUUACAGGUGCACGCCACCACACCUGGCUAAUUUUUGUAUUUUUAGUAGAGACAGGGUUUCACCAUGUUGGUCAGGCUGGUCUUGAACUCCUGACCUCAUGAUCCGCCCUCCUCGGCCUCCUAAAGUGCUGGGAUUACAGGCGUAAGCCACUGUGCUUGGCCUUAGAUGCUCACAUUUGAUGGUGACAUUCUAAAUUAGUUUCCUCCAUUCAUUUCCUUUUUUUUUAGACGGAGUCUUGCUCUGUCACCGAGGCUGGAAUGCAGUGGCGCAACCUCGGCUCACUGCAACCUCCACCUCCCGGGUUCAAGGGAUUCUCCUGCCUCAGCUUCCCUAGUUGCUGGGAUUACAGGCACACACCACCAUGCACAGUUCAUUUUUGUAUUUUUU
rnacentral:lncRNA from 10 species